AGAAAAUGAAGAAGCAAAAGCAGAAAUUCCUGCUCUGCAAGGAGAUGAGCAGGCGAGGAGACAAGUAGACAGACGGCAGAACAACACAGCAGAGAAAGAGAGAAGAGGAGGGACAUCUGAACACCAGUAGGAGUUCAGCUGGGGGCUGUCGGAGAGGGGUUUGGCUGCUGGAUGGCCAGGCUCCAAGGGUAAGAUCAACUUCCCACUCCAUCCCCCACUUCCAGCUCCCCAUCCAUCCCACUGAGAGCCAC
rnacentral:lncRNA from 1 species